AGCUUUGCGCAGUGGCAGUAUCGUAGCCAAUGAAGUUUAUCCGAGGCGCGAUUAUUGCUAAUUGAAAGAGUUGAAAUCCAUACAUGGUUUUUAUACAGUAGACAUUUUCAUUAACUUUUUGAAGAUCCAUUCUAUUUGUGAAUCUUUCAAUAAAAG
rnacentral:snRNA from 1 species